rnacentral:rRNA from 1 species
CGGACGGGUGAGUAACGCGUGGAAAACCUGCCGUAUACUGGGGGAUAACACUUAGAAAUAGGUGCUAAUACCGCAUAAGCGCACAGCUUCGCAUGAAGCAGUGUGAAAAACUCCGGUGGUAUACGAUGGUUCCGCGUCUGAUUAGCUAGUUGGUGAGGUAAAAGCCAACCAAGGCAACGAUCAGUAGCCGGCCUGAGAGGGUGAACGGCCACAUUGGGACUGAGACACGGCCCAGACUCCUACGGAAGGCAGCAG